rnacentral:rRNA from 1 species
GAUGAACGCUAGCUACAGGCUUAACACAUGCGAGUCGCGGGGCAGCAUGGGGGUUGCUUGCAACCCCUGAUGGCGACCGGCGCACGGGUGAGUAACGCGUAUCCAACCUGCCCUUCACCACGGGAUAGCCCGGCGAAAGUCGGACUAAUACCGUAUGUUGUCCAUUGACGGCUUCCGAUUUGGACGAAAGGCUUGCCGGUGAAAGGAUGGGGAUGCGUCUGUUUAGCUUGACGGCGGGGUACCGGCCCACCGUGGCUACGAUCGGUAGGGGUUCUGAGAGGAAGGUCCACCACACUGGAACUGAGACACGGUCCAGACUCCUACGGGAGGCAGCAGUGAGGAAUAUUGGUCAAUGGGCGUAAGCCUGAACCAGCCAAGUAGCGUGCAGGAUGACGGCCCUAUGGGUUGUAAACUGCUUUUAUGCGGGGAUAAAGUGGCCCACGUGUGGGCUUUUGCAGGUACCGCAUGAAUAAGGACCGGCUAAUUCCGUG